rnacentral:rRNA from 1 species
GACGAACGCUGGCGGCGUGCCUAAUACAUGCAAGUCGAGCGAAGUUUUUCUGGUUCUUGCACUAGAAAAACUUAGCGGCGAACGGGUGAGUAACACGUAAAGAACCUGCCUCAUAGACUGGGACAACUAUUGGAAACGAUAGCUAAUACCGGAUAACAGCAUUUCUCGCAUGAGAGAUAUUUAAAAGUUGGUUAUGCUAACACUAUGAGAUGGCUUUGCGGUGCAUUAGCUAGUUGGUGGGGUAAAGGCCCACCAAGGCGACGAUGCAUAGCCGACCUGAGAGGGUGAUCGGCCACACUGGGACUGAGACACGGCCCAGACUCCUACGGGAGGCAGCAGUAGGGAAUCUUCCGCAAUGGGCGAAAGCCUGACGGAGCAACGCCGCGUGAGUGAAGAAGGAUUUCGGUUCGUAAAGCUCUGUUGUUAGGGAAGAAUGGAUAUGUAGUAACUAUACAUGUAAGAGACGGUACCUAACCAGAAAGCCACGGCUAACUACGUG